CAGGAUCGGCUCCCUUGCUUGUUAUACAGUGCUGAGAGCUCUCUGUUGCCGCUGCAGGAGGCAGGUACGUGAACAGAUGGGCAAUUUAGGAAAGAUGGACAUCAGGACAAUCUGUCUGGAACAAACGUGGAUGCAUCUUUAUAGGAGGAAGAGGAGUUGAAUGUACACCUGCUUCUGUAAGUCAUUCGUGAUGACCCACCUCUGGACAAUCAGGCAGAGAGAAAGGCUCUCGCAGCUACCAGGCAGGAUUAGCCUGGCUGUGCAGCCGGGAGCUCACAGUUCGCAGAGCUCUGGGCACCUAGCUCGUGACCACACAUGUACAAGCGGCGCUCACGCUCCACAUGGGACAAAACAAGACAGAAGAGAGGAUGCCUGUGCUGUUCUGUUUUCGUCCUUUGCUCCUCCAAGCUGUAAGCUGAGAGGUACUCAUGCAUCCACGCUUCUGAAGGCGUUAUUUGUAGCAGCAGGGAAAUGGAACCAGCCUAGAUGUGCUCUGAUGGACCAGCGGAUAAAGAAAACGCAGCACAGCCGAGUUUAUUCUGCGACAAGGAAAAGUGAAAUGACAAAAUAAGACGGAUGCACCUGGAAAGUGGCCUAUCGCGUGGGUAACCAACAUUCAGAGGACAAAACCUCCAUAUUCUCUUUCAUAGCCAAAUCUCGGCUUAUAAUAUCUAUGUGUGUGUGUGUAGGUAGCAGUAAGUGCAGGAUAGACUAAGAAACUAAGAACAUCAGGAGAGGGAAAAACGAAGAGUCCAGGAAAGGGGCACUAACACUUCCAUGACAUUAAGGCAAAAAGAGCCAUGAAGGAUUGGAGGGCACGGGGGUGAGGUGGGAGGAAGAUGAGUAAGAAUGUGGGGGAGGAGAAUCAACAAAACAAAUUUUAUCUGAAAAUUAAACCCACCACUGUGUGUGGUAGUUAAAUUUUCAAUUAAAGAGUAAGCUAAAAGAUCUGAGAUUGUCAGACACCAUAGAAAUGGUAAAGCCGGCCUGGAGAAAUUCCAUUUCAUAUUACAGUGUUCUCAGGGUGCUUCUGGAACAGCUGAUAGACUUCAAUCUACUUUAUGAUGUAGUAAUAUAAUCUCAGCUAUGACAACGCUAACUUCAUUUGUGUAUGUAUUAGCAUGUUAUUAGGCAGCACACUCCACCUUUUGUUUUGUGUUUUUUGUUUUUCUUACAAAUGAGUAACUUCGGAGGAAGCAGUUUCAAAACGCAUUGAGCAGUAUAUGACCUGCCUAGUUAGUUCCAUUGUAUCUUUUUUAUAUUAUUUAAUUUAUUUUUAUUUAUUUAUUAAAAUUCAUUCACUUUGUAUCCCAGCUAUAGUCCCCUCCCUUGUCUCCUGCCCUCCCUCUUCUCUCCCUUUGCCCCUCCCCUAGUCCACUGAUAAGGGAGCUCCUCCUCCCCCUCUCUCUGACCCUAGCCUAUCAGGUCUCAUUAGGAGUGGCUGCAUCCUCCUCCUCUGUGGCCUGGCAAGGCCGCAAGUUCCAUUGUAUUCUAAACUUUUACCACUGAAUAGCUCAAAAUACUCUGGGGAUAUUUUUGCUUUUGCAUCUUUGUUAAAUGUAAGCAUUUUUGUCUUCUGUAAGAUUUAUGUUAUUGUUUAACUCUACAUCAAUAUUAGCAUAUUAUUUUAAUGUCAUCUCGUCUCUUCUGAGUGUGCAGUCUAUUGUAUUUACUGUUUUGCUUAAUUUUAUCAGUAAAUAUAUUUUAUUAUUUGCUUUUUGUUGUUGUUGUUUUUCAAGACAGGGUUUCUCUGUAUAGCCUUGGCUGUCCUGGAACUCACUCUGUAGGCCAGGCUGGCCUCUAACUCACAAAGAACCGCCUACCUCUGCCUUCCAAGUGCUAGGAUUAAAGGCAUGCA